rnacentral:ncRNA from 1 species
GCCUACCGACAAAUGUCGAGACGAAUACAGCAAACUAUCGAAGCUAAUAUUAUUAAUGAAAUAGGUCGACAUGUAUUCUGUUCUCCUUGUGAGAAGAAAGACAAAGUAAGGUAGCCGUCUACAUAGCAAUAUAUAGACAGGAG